UACAGAGGUGACAACCGUUGUCCGGAAUUAUUGGGCGUAAAGGGCGCGUAGGUGGUUGAGUAAGUCAGGUGUGAAAGCUCUGGGCUUAACCCAGGAAUUGCAUCUGAUACUGCUCGGCUUGAGUACGGUAGAGGAGGGUGGAAUUCCCAGUGUAGCGGUGAAAUGCGUAGAUAUUGGGAGGAACACCGGUGGCGAAGGCGGCCCUCUGGACCGAAACUGACACUGAAGCGCGAAAGCUAGGGGAGCAAACGGG
rnacentral:rRNA from 1 species